rnacentral:misc_RNA from 1 species
GAUGAAGAACGCAGCGAAAUGCGAUACUUGGUGUGAAUUGCAGAAUCCCGUGAACCAUCGAGUCUUUGAACGCAAGUUGCGCCCGAAGCCAUUAGGCCGAGGGCACGCCUGCCUGGGCGUCACACGUCGUUGCCCCCCCAUCUACUCCUUCGGGAUUGCGGGGGGCGGAUGAUGGCCUCUCGUGCGCCUCGUCGCGCGGUUGGCCUAAAUGCCAAGUCCUCGGCGACGCACGCCACGACAAUCGGUGGUUGCGAAACCUCGGUUGCCUGUCGUGUGCGGUCGUCGCGCAUCGAGGGCUCGAAAAAAUUGCCGGGCUCCGGCUCGGCUUUCAACGCGACCCCAGGUCAGGCGGGGUUACCCGCUGAAUCUAAGCAUAUCAAUAAGCGGAGGA